rnacentral:rRNA from 1 species
AUGCCACUGCAAAAUAUGCAUGUGCAAUUCCAACAACCAUAUCCGCAGCAGGUUAGCUCUAGCAGCGGAGUAUCUAGAGGAGGUGGACAAGGUGGGACUGGGAAGAACAAAAAGAAACAGAAAGCCAGUGGCAAACAAAAGCAGCAAGUUGUUGUUCCUGGGCUGGGUGAGGGCUCCUCUACUCAGAAUUCUGUUGAUCCAGAAGGCUACAUGGUUGAUCCAAAAUACAUAGGAGCAAUUUGUUACAACUGUGGCCCCCCUGGUCAUUUUGUUGGCAUGUGCCAAGUGCCUAAGGUGUGUUUUAUCUACAGAACCCCAGGCCAUCAUAUGGAUGCCUGCCCCAAAUGGUACCAACCAUACCCAGCUGCACAAUUUUGA